UCGAGAAUAUUCCACAAUGGGCGAAAGCCUGAUGGAGCGACGCCGCGUGCAGGAAGAAGGCCCUCGGGUCGUAAACUGCGGUAGUAGAGUAACAACGUAAGUGAGUGCUCUACGGAAAGAGGUUGGUAACUACGUGCCAGCACCCGCGGUAAUACGUAGACCUCAAGCGUUACCCGGAUUUAUUGGGCGUAAAGCGCGUGUAGGAGGUCCGAUGCGUCUUGCGUUAAAGCCCACCGCUCAACGGUGGAAUCGCGCGAGAUACGAUCAGACUGGAGGAAGUUAGAGGCAAGCGGAACGCACGGUGUAGGGGUGACAUCCGUUGAUAUCGUGCGGAACACCAAAGGCGAAGGCAGCUUGCUGGGACUUUCCUGACUCUGAGACGCGAAAGCGUGGGGAGCAA
rnacentral:rRNA from 1 species